rnacentral:rRNA from 1 species
AGAUUGAACGCUGGCGGCAUGCCUAACACAUGCAAGUCGAACGGGAGUAGCAAUACUCUAGUGGCGGACGGGUGAGGAAUACGUAGGAAUUUGCCCUUAAGUGGGGGAUAACCCGGGGAAACCCGGAUUAAUACCGCAUGACCUCGAAAGAGCAAAGUGGGGGAUCGCAAGACCUCACGCUUUUGGAGAAGCCUACGUCGGAUUAGCUAGUUGGUGAGGUAAUGGCUCACCAAGGCGACGAUCCGUAACUGGUCUGAGAGGAUGAUCAGUCACACCGGAACUGAGACACGGUCCGGACUCCUACGGGAGGCAGCAGUGGGGAAUAUUGGACAAUGGGCGCAAGCCUGAUCCAGCAAUGCCGCGUGUGUGAAGAAGGCCUUCGGUUG